GACGGAGGGAGCAAGCGUUGUCCGGAAUCACUGGGCGUAAAGAGCUCGUAGGCGGGAGUUUAAGUCCGGGAGUAAAUCCAACGGCUCAACUGUUGGGUCAUCCUGGAUACUGGACUUCUUGAGGACAGAAGGGGAAAGGGGAAUUCCAGGUGUAGCGGUGAAAUGCGUAGAUAUCUGGAGGAACACCGGUGGCGAAGGCGCCUUUCUGGUCUGAUUCUGACGCUGAGGAGCGAAAGCCAGGGGAG
rnacentral:rRNA from 1 species